ACCAUCAGCUAUGAGACAUGUGCCCCCCUAAAAGUGCCUGCCUGGCAAAGCAAGCUUUUGCCUCUUUGCUGUCUUGCCUCCUCUCCUCUUACCUCUUGUCUCUCUUGCUCCUUCCUCCUCUCUUGCUUCUUCCCUGUUCUUUGCCUGCCUGCCCGCCUGCCUGCCUGCCUCUCUUAUGUCCCCACUCAGACAUGGUCUUUCACUCUUUCACUCUCCCCUUCCCCCGGUAAACCUCUUGCUCUGACUCUGUUUUGCGGGGUGUGUUUUCUUGGUGGCACACCACGGCAGGGCCCACCAAAAGGAGAGAUGGAAAUGGACUAAAAGGACCCCUUCUUUCUAAAACUAAAGUGAUUGGAAAUUUGCUUCAGGCUGAACAUCAUUUCUUAAAGUAAGGAAAAAGACUGCUUUGAAGGCUCCUGCAAAGUGAUUAAGGCUUACUCCACAGAAUGCCCAGAGCCCACAAGAGCCAGCAGGCAUUUGGGACAAGACCUCCUGCUUGUCAUUUAGAGUGGUCUUUCAACACUGUGCUGGCUGAUUUGUGUCAAUUUGACACAAAAUGUAGUCAUCUGAGAGGAGAAAACUUGGACUGGGAAAAUGCCUCCAUAAGAUCCACUAUAGGCAAGCCUGCAGGGCCUUUUCUUAAUUAGUGAUUGAUAGGGGAUGGUUCAGUCCAUUGUGAGUGGUGCAGCCCCAGGGCUGGUGUUUCUGGGUUCCAUAAUAAAGCAGAUUGAGCAAACCAGUAAUCAGCACCCCUCCAUGGUCUCUGCAUCAGUUCCUGCCUCCAGAUUGCUG